CCUACGGGGGGCAGCAGUGGGGAAUAUUGCACAAUGGGGGGAACCCUGAUGCAGCGACGCCGCGUGGGUGAAGGAGUACUUCGGUACGUAAAGCCCUAUCAGCAGGGAAGAAAAUGACGGUACCUGACUAAGAAGCCCCGGCGAACUACGUGCCAGCAGCCGCGGUAAUACGUAGGGGGCAAGCGUUAUCCGGAUUUACUGGGUGUAAAGGGAGCGUAGACGGCAGGGCAAGUCAGGAGUGAAAGCCCGGGGCUUAACCCGGGGACUGCUCUGGAAACUGUAAAGCUGGAGUGCAGGAGAGGCAGGUGGAAGUCCUGGUGUAGCGGUGAAAUGCGUAGAUAUCAGGAGGAACACCAGCGGCGAAGGCGGCCUGCUGGACCGUAACUGACGUUGAGGCUCGAAAGCGUGGGGAGCAAACAGGAUUAGAUACCCUUGUAGUC
rnacentral:rRNA from 1 species